rnacentral:misc_RNA from 1 species
GUCGCACUUGCAGUGAUAAAUGCAGUAACAGAUGAUGACUUCUUUGGCAUCUUUACAAUAGAGCAAAUUAAGGAAGCUGCACAAAAAGUAAAAGUAUAAUUAGUCUCAGUAAAUUGAAGUAGCAGUUAGUCUGAGUUCUGGGUAACAAAUGUCUUGUGAAGGUAUUGUUCACUCGAGCUAUCGUGAAGUUUCUCAACUCGUUGAACUACUGGCUGCCUUUAAAGCUAGUCGUUGAUCAAAAGUUCAUGUUAAUGUUUUUUCCUUUGUGAAAGGAAGUAGUUAUUCUCAUAGGCUGUACAAGGUAUUUGGAAUUAAUGUGUAGGUGCUUACUAAAGUGUAGUUGUUUUCAUGUAAUUUUUAUAUAGAUUUUCAUGCGGGUCAAUUCAAUAAGUUUAUUACACGAAAACAACUACACUUUAGUAAGCACCUACACAUUAAUUCCAAAUACCUUGUACAGCCUAUGAGAAUAACUACUUCCUUUCACAAAGGAAAAAACAUUAACAUGAACUUUUGAUCAACGACUAGCUUUAAAGGCAGCCAGUAGUUCAACGAGUUGAGAAACUUCACGAUAGCUCGAGUGAAC